rnacentral:rRNA from 1 species
AGAGUUUGAUCCUGGCUCAGGGUGAACGCUGGCGGCGCGCUUAAUGCAUGCAAGUCGAGCGUGAUCGUGGCUUCGGCCACAAUGAUAAAGCGGCAGACGGCUGAGUAACGCGUGAGUAAUCUGCCCUCCGGUGGGGUAUAACCUCGGGAAACUGAGGAUAAUCCCGCAUACGACCUGCAUCCCUUGGGGUGCAGAUGAAAGGCUUCGGUCGCCGGAGGAGGAGCUCGCGUCCUAUCAGGUUGUUGGUGGGGUAAUGGCCUACCAAGCCGAUGACGGGUAGCUGGUCUGAGAGGAUGACCAGCCAGAGGGGGACUGAGAACGGCCCCCACUCCUACGGGAGGCAGCAGCAGGGAAUCUUGGGCAAUGGGCGAAAACCUGACCCAGCGACGUCGCGUGGGGGACGAAGGCCUUCGGGUUGUAAACCCCUUUUCCGAGGGAAGAGAAAGGACGGUACCUCGGGAAUAAGCCCCGGCUAACUACGUGCCAGCAGCCGCGGUAAUACGUAGGGGGCAAGCGUUACCCGGAAUCACUGGGCGUAAAGUGCGCGUAGGCGGUUGGAUAAGUCUCUUGUGAAAGCUCCCGGCUCAACUGGGAGAGGUCAAGGGAUACUAUUUGACUAGAGGACAGCAGAGGUAAGCAGAAUUCCCGGUGUAGCGGUGGAAUGCGUAGAUAUCGGGAGGAACACCAGUGGCGAAAGCGGCUUACUGGGCUGUAUCUGACGCUGAGGCGCGAGAGCGUGGGGAGCAAACUGGAUUAGAUACCCAGGUAGUCCACGCCCUAAACGAUGGAUACUAGGUAUGGGGGGUAUUGACCCCCUCCGUGCCGUAGCUAACGCGUUAAGUAUCCCGCCUGGGGACUACGGCCGCAAGGCUAAAACUCAAAGGAAUUGACGGGGGCCCGCACAAGCGGUGGAGCGUGUGGUUUAAUUCGAUGCUAAGCGAAGAACCUUACCUGGGCUUGACAUGUUGGUAGUAGGAACCCGAAAGGGUAACGACCUCGGGGUAACUCGGGGAGCCUUCACAGGUGCUGCAUGGCUGUCGUCAGCUCGUG